CCGAGUUUACAACUCCCAAACCCCUGUGAACAUACCACUUGUUGCCUCGGCGGAUCGGCCCGCUCCGGUAAAACGGGACGGCCCGCCAGAGGACCCCUAAACUCUGUUUCUAUAUGUAACUUCUGAGUAAAACCAUAAAUAAAUCA
rnacentral:misc_RNA from 1 species